GGGGCUAUGGUGUAGCUUGGCUAUCAUGGGAGGUUUGGGACCUCCAGACCCCGGUUCGAAUCCGGGUAGCCCCA
rnacentral:tRNA from 1 species